rnacentral:rRNA from 1 species
UACCAGCACCCCGAGUGGUCGGGACGAUUAUUGGGCCUAAAGCAUCCGUAGCCGGUCCUACAAGUCUUCCGUUAAAUCCACCUGCUUAACAGAUGGGCUGCGGAAGGUACUAUAGGGCUAGGAGGCGGGAGAGGCAAGCGGUACUCAGUGGGUAGGGGUAAAAUCCUCUGAUCCAUUGAAGACCACCAGUGGCGAAGGCGGCUUGCCAGAACGCGCUCGACGGUGAGGGAUGAAAGCUGGGGGAGCAAACCGG